rnacentral:lncRNA from 1 species
UAUUGGUCCUUCAGUGGAUAACCUAUUGGUCCUUCAAUGGAUAAUCUAUUGGUCCUAGUCCUUCAGUGGAUAACCUAUUGGUCCUAGUCCUUCAGUGGAUAACCUAUUGGUCCUAGCCUUCAGUGGAUAACCUAUUGGUCCUAGUCCUUCAGUGGAUAACCUAUUGGUCCUUCAGUGGAUAACCUAUUGGUGCUUCAGUGGAUAACCUAUUGGUGCUUCAGUGGAUAACCUAUUGGUCCUUCAGUGGAUCAUCUAUUGGUCCUAGUCCUUCAGUGGAUAACCUAUUGGUCCUAGUCCUUCAGUGGAUAACCUAUUGGUGCUUCAGUGGAUAACCUAUUGGUCCUUCAGUGGAUAACCUAUUGGUCCUAGAUCUUCAGUGGAUAACCUAUUGGUUCUAGAUCUUCAGUGGAUAAUCUAUUGGUCCUUCAGUGGAUAACCUAUUGGUCCAAGUUUUGAACUUCUAUUUAUGGCCUGUAGGCCUCGUUGACCUGAGCUCAAACAACUAGUUUUUGAGUUAAAAAAAAAGCAUAAUGUAUGGAUUAUUUUGACUUUAACAAAUACUCAGAUUAAACAUAUUGUGCUAUUUAUCACAGACUACUUUGUGUCAAAGAUUAACAAGGACAUUUGUUUUGAAACCAUUUCAAAUGUAUGAUUUUAUUAGUAAAGAAAGGACAUAGGCCCAAAACUACACAUGAAAACUUUACCAUAUUAAAUUUUUUUUACAAAUGUCUUUGUAAAAUGCAUCUCCCCUCCAAGUUGGUCAUGUUUAUCUCUCUCCAUCCUCACCAGUGUCAUGAUCAAAGAUAUGAUCAAGAGCCUCACAUACAGUAUAUCGUUUGGUCAUUGUGCCACCACAGAAUAAAUUGUGAGCAAGGCCUCAAAAAAAAGCUUUAUAUACCAGAGCUGCGAGAAAAGUUAUAUAUAUUAUCGAAACAAUGUUGCAAUUGUUUGUGAGAAUGCCAACAGUUGUGGUUCACGUGGGGGAAAGGUUCCCGUGGAGGUUGCCAUGGAAGCCAAGAAGGGGAGUGAGGUGUGUGUGUGUGUGUGUGUGUGUGUGCGCUCAAACACACACGCAUGUGUUAAGUGGAACGACACAGGGGAACCCAAGAGCAGACUCAGACGAGGAAACGGGGAUGAAUGAACCAAGUUAUUUAUUGUAACACGGGGAGAUAUAGGAGUGCAGAUCCCAGGAAGCUCAGAUGAGUUGUAGAAAAACCAGAUGUGGCGACUGAGGUUGGAGUUAGCUGAGUAGAACAGGGUAAACAGGUCCUGAGGGGAAUCCAAGGUAAUUGGGUGGUGAGAUGUGGAACAGGAGACAGAGCGGUAAACUGCAAUGAGAGGAUAAACGGUGUCAGGCAGGGAAACAGGCACAGCAAAGUAACAGGACCUUGAAUAACCAUAAAAUGUCUACAAUCAUGAACUGACUGAGCAGAGAUUACAAUCUGGCAGAGUGGAAGUGGCAGGACUGAGUAUUUGUAGAGGUCUUGAUUAUGGAACGAGUUGAAGCUGGUAGGCAUCUGCUCUGACUCCAGCACACCUGUCUCCAAUCACACAGAGAGGAAGAGUUGGAGGGAGAGUGUGUGUACAGGGGGAGUAACUGCAGGUCAAGAAGACAGCGGAUGAACACCAGAGGGCGUAGCAGGAGCAGAUAUGACAGCACGUGGGGGUCUGGGAGAGGAAGUGUGUCCAUCUGAUGAAUGGGCAUGUGCCUGAACUCAAUUAUAUACACUAAUUGUAGUUUCACACAUUAAUUUCUAAUGACGGGUAAUUUUUUGACCGGGAACACCACAGGUGUAUAAAAGUUAAAUAAAACACCCAAAAUAUUAUGAAAAACAUCCAAAAUUUAUUUUGUGUGUUCAGAUCCCCUGUGUGGACAAAGUCAUGGAACCUUAUGACCAUCAGAUUAAAUGAACUACAUGUUUCAGAGAGAGAACUUGUAAAUCGGUCCAAUUCAACCGGGAACACAACAGGAGGGUUAAUCCUCACUGAUGCAUAUUAAACUAGUGUCGUGGAGGUAUACCAUUUAUCAGUUACGUAGUACAAUAGAGAAAUCAUACACAAACUAACCUACACAAUCACAAAGCAUGUGAAAUACACUGCUCAAAAAAAAUAAAGGGAACACUUAAACAACACAAUGUAACUCCAAGUCAAUCACACUUCUGUGAAAUCAAACUGUCCACUUAGGAAGCAACACUGAUUGAUAAUAAAUUUCACAUGCUGUUGUGCAAAUGGAAUAGACAACAGGUGGAAAUUAUAGGCAAUUGGCAAGACACUCCCAAUAAAGGAGUGGUUCUGCAGGUGGGGACCACAGACCACUUCUCAGUUCCUUUGCUUCCUGGCUGAUGUUUUGGUCACUUUUGAAUGCUGGCGGUGCUUUCACUCUAGUGGUAGCAUGAGACGGAGUCUACAACCCACACAAGUGGCUCAGGUAGUGCAGCUCAUCCAGGAUGGCACAUCAAUGCGAGCUGUGGCAAGAAGGUUUGCUGUGUCUGUCAGCGUAGUGUCCAGAGCAUGGAGGAGCUACCAGGAGACAGGCCAGUACAUCAGGAGACGUGGAGGAGGCCGUAGGAGGGCAACAACCCAGCAGCAGGACAGCUACCUCCGCCUUUGUGCAAGGAGGAGCAGGAGGAGCACUGCCAGAGCCCUGCAAAAUGACCUCCAGCAGGCCACAAAUG